GCCUAUACAUGGUGUAGCGGUUUGAGUGUUGGACUUUGACUCUGGAGACCAGGGUUCAAAUCCCAGUUCGGCC